ACUCAAAUGAAUAGACGGGGACCCGCACAAGCGGUGGAUGAUGUGGUUUAAUUCGAUGCAACGCGAAAAACCUUACCUACCCUUGACAUGUCUGGAAUCCUGAAGAGAUUUGGGAGUGCUCGAAAGAGAACCAGAACACAGGUGCUGCAUGGCCGUCGUCAGCUCGUGUCGUGAGAUGUUGGGUUAAGUCCCGCAACGAGCGCAACCCUUGUCAUUAGUUGCUACGAAAGGGCACUCUAAUGAGACUGCCGGUGACAAACCGGAGGAAGGUGGGGAUGACGUCAGGUCCUCAUGGCCCUUAUGGGUAGGGCUACACACGUCAUACAAUGGCCGGUACAGAGGGCUGCCAACCCGCGAGGGGGAGCCAAUCCCAGAAAACCGGUCGUAGUCCGGAUCGCAGUCUGCAACUCGACUGCGUGAAGUCGGAAUCGCUAGUAAUCGCGGAUCAGCUUGCCGCGGUGAAUACGUUCCCGGGUCUUGUACACACCGCCCGU
rnacentral:rRNA from 1 species